ACCAAAGCUUAAAACAUAUAAAAACCCAAAAAUGCGCGUUUUCUCACAGAUCAGACCUAGCUAAGAGAUCAAACCCCUUAUAGCAAAUUUCAUCGAAAUCGUUAGAGCCGUUUCUGAUAUCAUCCAAAUAUAUAAAUAAAUAUAUAUACAAUAAUUGCUCGUUUAAAGAUAAGAUAACACAAAAAGGACAAAAAUAAACAAAAAGAAAUUACCUACUCGCACCAGUCUUGAACCCCAAUCCUCUUGCACGUAUUUCCACGAACAUACCGUAACGCUAUUGCAGUAUACUUACGUUGUGUGAAAUUGUCUACUAUAAGCAUCACGGAAACACUGUUUGCAUGUGUGAGUUAUAGUAGGAAAAAGCAUGACAGCAACACUCCGUCGACUUUAAAGGCUGGUUUUUGCAUAAUGAAGUAUUGAAUGUUUAUUUUAAUAGUUCAAUAUUUACUUAAAGAGUUCGCUAAACAUACUUUUAAGUAUACAAAUACCAAGACCAUUCCAUAAAAAAAUUAAACAUGAAAUUUUGCGAAAGUGGCACCAUCUAGCGAGGGUUAAGCUUUGAGUAACCUAGUCGAACCACCUUAAAUUAAAACAGAU